CCUGCACAUAAACCUCUUCGCAUCACAAACACACAACUACCGAAGUUCUACAGUUGGCUCCCGGACCCACAGAGCGAAGCGGUGGACGCGUUCUUACAACAAUGGCCACCGAAAGGGGAGUACACAUUCCCGCCGUUCUCAAUGCUGGCAAGAGUCCUCCACCAACUACGCGGAGCAAGGACAUCGCUGAUACUGAUCACACCAUUGUGGAAGAGCCAAGCAUGGUUUCCAGACCUACUAGCACUGUCACAAGACCAUCCACUAGUCUUACCAGUGUUCC